AGGCUCACUCUAAAUUACGAGGGGCACUUUUGAGUGGAGUCCAAAACUGGUCAGUGUGCCUAAAACUGAGUCAGGUCGUGGUUGCAUCACAGUAAACAUUUACAGUGGUGAUGAUGAGACCCAUAAUAUUU
ensembl:snoRNA